GAUGAACGCUGGCGGCGUGCCUAACACAUGCAAGUCGAGCGAUCUCUUUUGAGAGAGCGGCGGACGGGUGAGUAACGCGUGGGUAACCUGCCCUGUACACACGGAUAACAUACCGAAAGGUAUGCUAAUACGGGAUAAUAUACUUUGGUGGCAUCACCUGAGUAUCAAAGAUUUAUCGGUACAGGAUGGACCCGCGUCUGAUUAGCUAGUUGGCGAGGUAACGGCUCACCAAGGCUUCGAUCAGUAGCCGACCUGAGAGGGUGAUCGGCCACAUUGGAACUGAGACACGGUCCAAACUCCUACGGGAGGCAGCAGUGGGGAAUAUUGCACAAUGGGCGAAAGCCUGAUGCAGCAACGCCGCGUGAGCGAUGAAGGCCUUCGGGUCGUAAAGCUCUGUCCUCAAGGAAGAUAAUGACGGUACUUGAGGAGGAAGCCCCGGCUAACUACGUGCCAGCAGCCGCCGUAAGAC
rnacentral:rRNA from 1 species